AUUCACAGUACACAAUGAAGAGUUUCAUUUCUAGCAUGGUUUUGUUAAAGAUUGGCUUCAUAUUCACUAUUCUUCUCAUGUCUCCCAAUGUCAGCGCGAGAUGGAAUAUAGAUCCUGAAAUUUCACAAUUCGGAAGAAGAUUAUUACCACAAGUUGGAAAUGAUCCGCAAAUCAGUCCUAGGGUUAUGAGUUCGAGUGCCAAUGAAGCAAAACGACUGAAAAUUCCAGGAAAGGGUUAAAAAAAGUCAUUUGGUUGAUCUUUGAACAAUAAUAUUUGCACUAGACAACAAAUGAGUAUUUUCCUUGUAUGUAUUUUAUUUUAUUUGUCUCUAGUACUUUGUUUUAUAAGAAUAAUAAUAAAGAAAUUCAAAUGAA